rnacentral:lncRNA from 1 species
UUUUUCUUUUUUAAAAGUAAAACACAUUUGUGAGAGACACACCACAUACUCAUCCAAUUUUUUUUCAUGAGAUGAACAAGCUUUUGUCCCUUCGAGACAUAACCUAUAACUGUUUCUUCUUCUUCCAUCUGCAAUAAUUCAUACUUCAUUCGAAAAGUCUGUAAUUUGACGACUUUAACCUUCUCAUCUCCUUCGUAAUACUUGAUAAAAAUAUCCCAUGCCUCCUUUGUUGAUUCAUCAUAAGGAAUUCUAUCAAAGUUCGACAUGUAUAUUGUCG